rnacentral:rRNA from 1 species
UACGUAGGGGGCAAGCGUUGUCCGGAUUUAUUGGGCGUAAAGAGCGUGUAGGCGGCCAUUCAGGUCAGCUGUGAAAACUCGAGGCUCAACCUCGAGACGUCGGUUGAAACCGUUUGGCUAGAGUCCGGAAGAGGAGAGUGGAAUUCCCGGUGUAGCGGUGAAAUGCGCAGAUAUCGGGAAGAACACCCGUGGCGAAGGCGGCUCUCUGGGACGGUACUGGACGCUGAGACGGCGAAAGCUAGGGGAGCAAACAGG